rnacentral:rRNA from 1 species
UAAUGUAUCGGAACGUGCCCAGUCGUGGGGGAUAACUGCUCGAAAGAGCAGCUAAUUCCGCAUACGACCUGAGGGUGAAAGCGGGGGAUCGCAAGACCUCGCGCGAUUGGAGCGGCCGAUAUCAGAUUAGGUAGUUGGUGAGGUAAAGGCUCACCAAGCCGACGAUCUGUAGCUGGUCUGAGAGGACGACCAGCCACACUGGGACUGAGACACGGCCCAG